CUUAGGUCGGAGUCGGAGUGAAACCGAGAUCAACCAAAUUUCAUCGAGUCAGGAAUCAAGCGAUUCAUUUCAAACUGUCUGUGAUGGCUGAAGAGGAGCUGGAGGCUGACUAUAUUUUAGCUGUGCCUGAGGAAAAUCUGCACUCAGAUACUCUUGUGUCCAACACAAUCACCUUGGAUGAAGAGGACAUAUUCCAGUGUGGCAGGUGUCGAACUCAGUUCUCUGCUCUGACAGACUUUGUGGUCCACAAACAGGAAGAAUGU